rnacentral:rRNA from 1 species
GGUUAAGCGACUAAGCGUACACGGUGGAUGCCCUGGCAGUCAGAGGCGAUGAAGGACGUGCUAAUCUGCGAUAAGCGUCGGUAAGGUGAUAUGAACCGUUAUAACCGGCGAUUUCCGAAUGGGGAAACCCAGUGUGAUUCGUCACACUAUCAUUAACUGAAUCCAUAGGUUAAUGAGGCGAACCGGGGGAACUGAAACAUCUAAGUACCCCGAGGAAAAGAAAUCAACCGAGAUUCCCCCAGUAGCGGCGAGCGAACGGGGAGCAGCCCAGAGCCUGAAUCAGUGUGUGUGUUAGUGGAAGCGUCUGGAAAGGCGCGCGAUACAGGGUGACAGCCCCGUACACAAAAAUGCACAUGCUGUGAGCUCGAUGAGUAGGGCGGGACACGUGGUAUCCUGUCUGAAUAUGGGGGGACCAUCCUCCAAGGCUAAAUACUCCUGACUGACCGAUAGUGAACCAGUACCGUGAGGGAAAGGCGAAAAGAACCCCGGCGAGGGGAGUGAAAAAGAACCUGAAACCGUGUACGUACAAGCAGUGGGAGCACGCUUAGGCGUGUGACUGCGUACCUUUUGUAUAAUGGGUCAGCGACUUAUAUUCUGUAGCAAGGUUAACCGAAUAGGGGAGCCGAAGGGAAACCGAGUCUUAACUGGGCGUUAAGUUGCAGGGUAUAGACCCGAAACCCGGUGAUCUAGCCAUGGGCAGGUUGAAGGUUGGGUAACACUAACUGGAGGACCGAACCGACUAAUGUUGAAAAAUUAGCGGAUGACUUGUGGCUGGGGGUGAAAGGCCAAUCAAACCGGGAGAUAGCUGGUUCUCCCCGAAAGCUAUUUAGGUAGCGCCUCGUGAAUUCAUCUCCGGGGGUAGAGCACUGUUUCGGCAAGGGGGUCAUCCCGACUUACCAACCCGAUGCAAACUGCGAAUACCGGAGAAUGUUAUCACGGGAGACACACGGCGGGUGCUAACGUCCGUCGUGAAGAGGGAAACAACCCAGACCGCCAGCUAAGGUCCCAAAGUCAUGGUUAAGUGGGAAACGAUGUGGGAAGGCCCAGACAGCCAGGAUGUUGGCUUAGAAGCAGCCAUCAUUUAAAGAAAGCGUAAUAGCUCACUGGUCGAGUCGGCCUGCGCGGAAGAUGUAACGGGGCUAAACCAUGCACCGAAGCUGCGGCAGCGACGCUGAUGCGUUGUUGGGUAGGGGAGCGUUCUGUAAGCCUGCGAAGGUGUGCUGUGAGGCAUGCUGGAGGUAUCAGAAGUGCGAAUGCUGACAUAAGUAACGAUAAAGCGGGUGAAAAGCCCGCUCGCCGGAAGACCAAGGGUUCCUGUCCAACGUUAAUCGGGGCAGGGUGAGUCGACCCCUAAGGCGAGGCCGAAAGGCGUAGUCGAUGGGAAACAGGUUAAUAUUCCUGUACUUGGUGUUACUGCGAAGGGGGGACGGAGAAGGCUAUGUUGGCCGGGCGACGGUUGUCCCGGUUUAAGCGUGUAGGCUGGUUUUCCAGGCAAAUCCGGAAAAUCAAGGCUGAGGCGUGAUGACGAGGCACUACGGUGCUGAAGCAACAAAUGCCCUGCUUCCAGGAAAAGCCUCUAAGCAUCAGGUAACAUCAAAUCGUACCCCAAACCGACACAGGUGGUCAGGUAGAGAAUACCAAGGCGCUUGAGAGAACUCGGGUGAAGGAACUAGGCAAAAUGGUGCCGUAACUUCGGGAGAAGGCACGCUGAUAUGUAGGUGAAGUCCCUCGCGGAUGGAGCUGAAAUCAGUCGAAGAUACCAGCUGGCUGCAACUGUUUAUUAAAAACACAGCACUGUGCAAACACGAAAGUGGACGUAUACGGUGUGACGCCUGCCCGGUGCCGGAAGGUUAAUUGAUGGGGUUAGCGCAAGCGAAGCUCUUGAUCGAAGCCCCGGUAAACGGCGGCCGUAACUAUAACGGUCCUAAGGUAGCGAAAUUCCUUGUCGGGUAAGUUCCGACCUGCACGAAUGGCGUAAUGAUGGCCAGGCUGUCUCCACCCGAGACUCAGUGAAAUUGAACUCGCUGUGAAGAUGCAGUGUACCCGCGGCAAGACGGAAAGACCCCGUGAACCUUUACUAUAGCUUGACACUGAACAUUGAGCCUUGAUGUGUAGGAUAGGUGGGAGGCUUUGAAGUGUGGACGCCAGUCUGCAUGGAGCCGACCUUGAAAUACCACCCUUUAAUGUUUGAUGUUCUAACGUUGACCCGUAAUCCGGGUUGCGGACAGUGUCUGGUGGGUAGUUUGACUGGGGCGGUCUCCUCCUAAAGAGUAACGGAGGAGCACGAAGGUUGGCUAAUCCUGGUCGGACAUCAGGAGGUUAGUGCAAUGGCAUAAGCCAGCUUGACUGCGAGCGUGACGGCGCGAGCAGGUGCGAAAGCAGGUCAUAGUGAUCCGGUGGUUCUGAAUGGAAGGGCCAUCGCUCAACGGAUAAAAGGUACUCCGGGGAUAACAGGCUGAUACCGCCCAAGAGUUCAUAUCGACGGCGGUGUUUGGCACCUCGAUGUCGGCUCAUCACAUCCUGGGGCUGAAGUAGGUCCCAAGGGUAUGGCUGUUCGCCAUUUAAAGUGGUACGCGAGCUGGGUUUAGAACGUCGUGAGACAGUUCGGUCCCUAUCUGCCGUGGGCGCUGGAGAAUUGAGGGGGGCUGCUCCUAGUACGAGAGGACCGGAGUGGACGCAUCACUGGUGUUCGGGUUGUCAUGCCAAUGGCACUGCCCGGUAGCUAAAUGCGGAAGAGAUAAGUGCUGAAAGCAUCUAAGCACGAAACUUGCCCCGAGAUGAGUUCUCCCUGACUCCUUGAGAGUCCUGAAGGAACGUUGAAGACGACGACGUUGAUAGGCCGG